GCACUAAAAUCAGUACUCUCUUAAGAGGUACUGAAAUAAUGCCUCUCCUUAUUAUAUAUCAUAUGAUUGUUGAACCAGGUACUAGUCAAAUGAUUUGAAAAGUUGGCACACAACUUUCUAAGAAACAUUGUAGUUGACUGCACAGUCCCAACUCUGGAUACCCUAGUAGUUAGAAUUACUACUGUAUUGAAUGUGACAAACACAUUCAGAAAAAUAGAAGAGUUAUGACUUAACCAGGGUGACUGCUGAUUUCAGCUAAGCUUUUCUGAAUCUCUUUAGUAUUCCCAGGUACAAAGUAGUAAAAGCAGGAUUAAAUAGGAUUGUAAAAUAAGUCAUCACAGCUUUUGACAUAAUAAGCAGUAAAUGAGCAUUAAUGUUAAAAUAAAUGUGAAUAAAAUGUCAGAGACCCUUGUUCAUUGUGGUGAAUCUUCAGUCUGAGAAGCAGCUGGGGAUAUUGUAGUGAAGUGGAAGUAAUAAAAUAUCUUAACAGAUAAUGAAGGGACACCCAUAAUUCUUCCAGACUCUUCAUGACACCUUACAAAUUUUUAAGUUAUUUAGCCUCUCUAAUUUUUCUCAAAAUGUAAGCCAUUAAAGUAGAAUUCUGAAGAAAAAUUAUACAUGAACAAACUUCACAGCUUACUAUCAGAUUAAUUUAUUUUUAAUUGCAAUAUUUAUUUUGACUGAAAAAACAUCUUUAGAUAGAAUGAUACCUACUGUUUAUUUUCCCUGGUAGACAAAGAAAGCAGUGGUUAACUUGAUGAAAGCACUCUACAUUGCCUUUCUUAUGUAAUAAAAUAUUGUCUGAAGUAGCAAAUUAAGCAACCUGCUUAGGAAAGUAUAGAUAGGUUGCUUAGGACAGUAUGUGGAAAGACUAGUUCUUAUGGUUUAAGAAAGAAAAAG